rnacentral:rRNA from 1 species
UUUGAUGAUUUAGAUAAACUGGAACCACGCCUUCCCUUUUCGAACAGGAUUGUUAAACAGUUUUACGCCGAUAAUAGUUUUUUGCUAAAAUAGGUAUUUAUCAGAC